GAGGGCGUUAGAUGGGCGGGCUGGAACGGGACGGCGCCUGUGUUCUCCGUCGCGCGAGACUGUAACGUCGGUGUAACUGUCCCUCCUGUCACUUCACCACAGGGCAGCCAUGCUUUCGAAGGAGGCUGAGGGUUUUUUUCCUCACGAGCCUUGCGUGUCAUAGUCUCUUUCUUUCCGCCUCAUGACUUAAUCUCAAAAUGGCUACAAGUCGCCUAGUUCCUUGGCUGGUACAAGAGUGUGAGGCGCGGGUCCCAGUCGACGAACACAUCUCUAGCCUUACAGCUCAGUUCUUCGUGGAGCAGGAUUGUCGCUGUCCACGUAACGCCUCCACAAAUAAGGGAAACUGCCGAACGCAAAAGCAGAGUCAUCCCUGGUCGCUGUUUUAAUCGGAGACCAACAGGGAAGUCCAGGAUCUCGGCACACAGCCAGGCAAUGGCGAAACCCGCCUGUGUACGCCUCUUGCCCUGAAAACCCCACAGGUAGACACACACACACACACACACCGCCCUGCAUAAAAGCAGAGUUGUCUUAGUUGCUCUGCUCGUGUCCUACCAUUCAUGCGAGAAUUCACUGCGAUCCCAUAACGCCAUAAUAAUCCUUUCAUUUUCGGGAUUUAAAAAAUUGCAGUGACACUUCAGUGCAAAGUGAGUGGAAAAUUCAGAAGGGUGUCUAGAGUUGUGGAAUAACUACUAGUGCUGGCAUAGAUUUUGAACAAUAAUGAGACGUGAAUAGCUUUCUAUAACCCUUUAAAUCUGGAUGAUGAAGCUAAUAGCAAGUUCUGCCUUACAAUGGCUCCACCCACUUUCUGAAAAGCUGAGUGAGUUCCAUGGCACCCAAGAGCAUUAUGUUGUGAAAUCCUGGACUACAGACUUAAAAAAAAAUAAAGUGGGAAUUUUGAGAACCUGUUA